rnacentral:lncRNA from 1 species
AGCUCUUGCUCUUGCUCCUUCGCCUGCUUGCCGUGUGAGACUGAGUAAUUGCUAGAUCCUUGGACUUCCAUUCACAGCUGCGACUGAACAAUUGUUGGGAAUUGGGCUGCCGACUCCAUCUUUCAAACACUGCCAAAUUAAGCUUUCUGCCAAGGUCUCCAUCUCCUGACUCCAUGGACUCUGAGACUUCACUCAACUCAAGAUCUCUGCUAUCAGUAAUUCCAGAAACUUACACCAUGAAGUGCCCUCAAAUCCAAAAACUCAACUUGACAGUAUUCCCCUGGAAGAGAUGAGUUUCACUCAAGCUGACCUCUAUAUUAACAGUGACUGUCUUCAUCCUUGUUUGGUGCAACCGAACCUGGUACCCUCAUUAGAUGUCAAAGUGUUGGCUAUUCUCUUUCCUAACUGCUCACAACUAAGAAGUAGAUGUGUCAUCUGUGGCCAGGAGGAUCUGAGGACACCUUUCCUAUGGUAGCUGUAAUGAUGCCCCUUUUUUCCUACUGAAGAGCAUUGUAACCCACAGAUAAGCAAGUAUGAACACCACCUCACAUAGCAAAAGGAAAUUUACAGAUGGAACUGUGUUAAGUAUCCUGUGACCGAGAGAGACUAUCUUGAAUUACUUGUGGAAGUCUAAUGUCAUUAUAACAACUAUUCUUGGUUGUCAACUUGUCUAAAUCUGGAAUUAACUAAAAUCCAAGUACACCUGUGAGAGAUUUUUCUUCUUAAUUAAAUCAUUUGAAGUAGGAAGACCC